GGUGGUGGUGGUGGUGGUGGUGGCGGCUGCGGCGGCAUUAGAGUUGAAAUAGUCAGAUUGGUUGCUUGCCUUGAAUGAAGAGGAAGGGAUGGGGGUGGAGGAGGUCCAACUCUAAUAGCACCAUUCUCCUUCAAAGGUGGAGUUGGAGGAGGUGGUGGUGUUGGAGGAGGAGGUGGUGGUGUUGAGGCUCCCGCUUUAAUGGCGAGCUUAUCUCUCGAAGGUGGCACUGAAGGAGGUGGUAUUCCUAAAGGAGGAGUGGGAGGCAGUGGUGAAGUUACAAGAGUAUCACGACCAAGUUGGGGAGUGCCUGAUGACAUCUGAUCUUUGCCCCUUAAAAAAGUUUCAGUCCUCUUGGUAAAUGAGGGAUCUAUUGAUUUUGAAGCAGAAAUAUGAUGAGGAGGUGUUGAUGAAGUUGGAAGAGUUUUUGAGGCAUUGGAAUUCGUGAUAGUUCGCAAUGGAGGUAUUGAUGGUGAAACAAAAACACUUGAAGGUUUCACAGGUUCAAUUCCAUCUGGAAGUGACAAGGUUUGAUUUGAGGCAUCCUUAGAUAUUUUCUUAUGAGUGAUAUCAGCUCUUUCAAAUGAGGCAUCAACAUGUGAUGUAGUUUUAGCGUGAGAAUCUAAUGGUAACUGAGAUGGUUGUUGACACGUAAGAUCAGAUUGACUGGCAAGUUGAAGGCCAACUUGAAUGUCUUUGUGCUUAUCCUCCUCAAUCGCAUGAGCAUGUGGAGAGGAUUUUGGUGAGUGUAGAAACUCAAUCUUUUGUGUUGAGAACAUGGAGCUCUCCAUUCCACUAUUCAAGGUCAUGUGUUUCUUUCUCUCCUGAUGCUUUUUAGGACUUGUUUCCAAUCUAUAAGGGCUUCGAGGACUUUGAGGGCUAAGUUGUACACCAUAUACCAAAUCAGUGUCAAAGUUUUCUUGGACAACAUUUGAUGCACUAAUUUGUUGAAGCACAUUACGUGCAACAUCUGCCUUGGAAUCUAACCAAUCAACAGAGCUAAAGAUCUCACGAACUUUAGCAAAUGCUUCCAUUGGUAGACCUUCUUUCUCCUCAAACCCAGAGAAAUCUACUGCAGCAACUGAAUUAGUAGCAUCCACCUCUGAGAAAAGAAUCUCUGCUCUGAAGUUCUUUGGAAAUUGAACCUUAGCAUCCCACAAAGUAUCAAUUUCGUCACGGUUAAGUAUCAAGAUGUUUGACCUAAUAAAAGCAGUGUUAAACACAGCUCGAAACAUCAUUUGUUCAUGCUCCAUGUCAUCAUCCAAACUGAUACACUCAAGCACAACAUCACCUUGGAUAUGGCAAUUGAUGUCAAUUUUAACUAGUUCGCAUUCUGUCUGCUUAUAAGCCCGGGCACUUUUGCCUUUCCUAGGAGUUGAGCACAUAAUAUUGGUAGUUUCCUCUGAAAUAUCAUGUCCAUAUAAUCGAAAAACUGGACGACAACCCCCCUCUCCAUCAAAAUUAGGAAUAAAUCUUAGAAUAACACAAUCCAAUGUAAGACAUCUGUCCAAUGGAGGCCAUUCUGAAGCCACAUUCCUCCUUGAAACAUAUUGUAGAUACCUCAAUUGAGAAGGGAUAGGAUUCAGUGGUGACAGUAAGUGCAAAAGCUCCCUAGGAGCCUGUCUGUAAAUCAUGUCAAGAGUCUUCUGUUCUACACUGUACUGCUUCCUAUAAAUCAAUAGUGCUGCCAGCAUAAAAGCCAAAACUGGCCAGCCACCCCGCUCACAAUGCAUUAGAAGCAGAUUCUGUUGCCCAAGUGAGAGCCAACUUUCACCUGAUCUUAGAAAAUGGUGGAUCACCUCCAUUUUGAGCAAUGGGCAACCUUCAUAUUGCCGAGGGUAAUCCAUGAUGGUCAUAUCAUAUUCAGACAGGAUGUCAGCAAACUGGCUUUGUCUCUUUCCCUCACGGAAAUUGAACACCAAGAAUGAAGAAUCAGGGAAGUGUUCUUUAAGUUGACCAACUAUUCCACCCAUAUAGCUUUUAUAAUUUUCUUCUUGCCAAGCAUCGGUGGUAAAGCAGUAAUCAAAGACAUAAACACGCUCACAGAUCUCGAGCAAACCAUCAGGAGGCUUCCUGUAGAACAAUUUACGAAACAAUGCCAUCUCCGAUUCAAAUUCAAUCAGCACCUUCCGAAAUUAUCCAAGCAGAAACUGUUUUGUGACGUUUUUUUGGUUUUUGUUGUAUCUUUGUGUUUGUGUUAAGAGUUUAAACUUGGCUUUCGGGUAAAGAAAGCCAACAGAACGAUCGAUCGAUUGAUUGGGUCUGUUGAAUUUGUUCGUUGGCUGUGUGUCAGCUGCUGUGAUUUCAUUUUUAUUGUUUUCUGUGUUACCAACCGACGUAGCUUGGUGCGGUGGCGGGUUUUUU
rnacentral:misc_RNA from 1 species